GUAGGUGGCAAGCGUUGUCCGGAAUUAUUGGGCGUAAAGCGCGCGCAGGCGGUCCUUUAAGUCUGAUGUGAAAGCCCACGGCUCAACCGUGGAGGGUCAUUGGAAACUGGGGGACUUGAGUACAGAAGAGGAAAGCGGAAUUCCAAGUGUAGCGGUGGAAUGCGUAGAGAUUUGGAGGAACACCAGUGGCGAAGGCGGCUUUCUGGUCUGUAACUGACGCUGAGGCGCGAAAGCGUGGGGAGCAAACAGGGAUUAGAUACCCUGGUAGUCCACGCCGUAAACGAUGAGUGCUAAGUGUUAGGGGGUUUCCCGCCCCCUUAGUGCUGCAGCUAACGCAUUAAGCACUCCGCCUGGGGAGUACGGCCGCAAGGCUG
rnacentral:rRNA from 1 species